GUUUUGUCAAGAGAACACACUGGUCAUAGGCAACAACCUUUUCCAACUGCACAAGAGAUGACUCUACAUGUGGACAUCACCAAAUGGGUGAUAAAUACAAGAAAAGAAAAAGCAAGGAAAGAAUUCUAUAGCCUACAAAACUGCCCUUCAAGAGUGAGAGAGAAAUUAAAACUUCCUUAAAUACGACGAGCUGAGGGAGUUUGUGACUGCUAGACUUGCCAGCAAGAACUGCUCAGGAAAGUCCUACAGUGAAAUGAAAAAGCACUAAGCAGUAACAUGAAGCUGUGUGAAGAGAGACAAAGACCUCAACAAAGCUAUUAGGGGACUUACAAGAUGGUGGAGGAAUAAGAUAUGGAGAUCACCUGCCCACGAACACAUCAAAAAUACCUCUGGAACAGCUCCUACAGAACACCUAUUAAGUGCUGGCAGAAGACCCUAGACUUCCAAAAAGGCAAGCUAACCUCCACAGGAGGAAGGGCAAAAGAUGUAAGUAAAAAAAAAAAGAGAAAGAGAGAGGCAUCAGAGUUUGGGAUGGGAUCUGCAUCUUGGGAAGGGAGCUGUGAAGGGGGAAAAAUUUCCGCAAACUCAGGAGCCCCUCUCAAGCGGAGAAAGUGGGGAGCUCUGCACCCUCAGAGCGGAGCACAGCAGUAUGUGCUCAGGAGGCAGAGCGGAGAGACUUCACCACAGAGGUCAGUGCCACCAGCGAUCCCCAGCCUGAAACGCUUGCUUCCGUGCCUGCUGUGGCAAGCGGGUUCCGGGCGCUAGACUAAGACGUCACGGGCCAGACCCCAGGGAGAGGCCUGGGGCUGACUGCCAUAAAGGUACUGUGAGGAGGCCAGGACGACGGAGCUGAGGAAAACCAGGGAGGCAGGUGAGCACUGCUGCGGGGACUCUCUGGCCCCACACACACAGAGUCUGCAGGACACAGCCUUCACAAGUGCCAUAGCUGGAACGAGCCGAGGCUCGGGGCCCCAGAGGUAGGUACGCUGGCCGGCCACCACCCUAGGCAGGACUAACCACAACUGCAAUCUGCAGUCCCCGAGGGGAGAACACAGGCUGCUUGGCUCUGCCAAAGCCUGCGUGAAUGCCAGAGGCACGGGGCAAGAUGUUGCUCUAGUCCCGACCCAAGAGAUCACAGCUGCCACCAAGUUGUGAGCAGGCGUUAAGUCACUGUCCACCCUUUCCUGGGAGCCUAGGCAGCCUGACUCUGCUGAGAGACCCACAAUCCAAGAUCAACACCUGGGGGAGCGCAAAACCUGCCUCAGACUGUGGCAGCUUCCCACAGGCCUCAGCCGUAGCAGGCACUCCCCACACACCCCAACUGUGUCUACCACCCUUCUCCCUCUCCCCAGCCUGAUUAAGCAAGUGAGCCCUAAUAAGCCACUGUUGUCUCUUACUCUUAUCUGGGAGGGGGACAGACACUGAAGGGAAGCCUACAAGCAGAGGCAGGGCUAAAACCAAAACAGACCACCACGGGAUGUGUGACCAGGGAAGAGGAUGGAAACUGGCUCCUACAGCUGAGGUGCAGUAGAUUAAGUCCCUGCAAUUUGCUUGAGACUGUGAACUUUGGGGUAACUGUGGACUUCGGUAGCAAGUACAAGCUGGAGUGAGGCCAGAUCUCAGUAUGAGCUGAACCAUAAUGCCAAGAGCAGGCCCAGAGAUCUUCCUAGAAAUAUUGGAGGAUUUUCUGAGUAGGGAGAUUGGCUGGAG